CCUCUUUCCCGUAGACCUCUCUUCCCUCUCGCUCAUCUCUCCCUCUUUCUUUCCCGUAGCCCUCUCUUCCCUCUCGCUCAUCUCUCCCUCUUUCUUUCCCGUAGACCUCUCUCUCCUCUUCGCAAGCUUUCCUCUUCGGCCACGCCACUACGGGCAGCCACCCGAAUCUCGAAGCCGACGCGAAUCAAGUCCCAAAAUCAAGAGGGGUUGAUGGGUUGCAGGUAGAGAGAGGGAUCACACUCUCAGUCGCUACCAGAACCUUUUCGUUUCUACUCCUGCUGCAAUUCAAUUUCACCUCAUCGUUUUUUCUCCGUUCUGAGAGAACGGUUCGCGCGACCAUACCGAAAGCAUCACAGCGCCUCAGCUCAAGUUCAAGAUACUUUAGGGUUAAAGAUAGACUCAUUUGAAGACUCAAAUUUCUAGUUGAGUUGUUAUCGGAGGACAUAUUCAAAUUUCCUGGUGAUGAGACCGCUAAGCAGCUUCAUGUUGCUAUGGUGGAACAACGCUCUGCUGUUCUCCAAGAAGCAACAUCGCAGCUUCCCCCGGAGACCCCGAUCGAGGAUGUCACGGUACCUGAGGAUGCAGGUUUUCAAAUCCUGACUAAUGUAAUGGAUCAGAACUUCGGUCGUCGUCAUGGCAAGGUUGUUCGGUGUAUGGGGAAAGCGCGAGUUCGUGAGACGGGUGCCUCUUCUUCUAGAUCGAACACAAUAGAGGUCAGUGCAUUGAAGGAGGAAGUGACAACCCUAAAGGGUCAGCUUGCGGUCCAAGGCGAGAAGAUGAAGGCUCGAGACUAGCAGAUGAAGCCCCAGGAAGAGCAGAUUAGGGCCCAGGGCGAGCAGAUUAGGGUCCAGGGCGAGAAGAUGAAUGCCUAUGUUGGGCACGUGAGAGACCUUGUACGAGCCAUACAGAUGUCCGGUCUCCAAAUCUCGCUACCAGAACCUGAACUUGAUACACCUUCAACCUUCGAGCCAUUUCACCCUGCCGAUACCUAGUAGCCUGAUGAAUCAAACCUAGAAGACUACUUUUAGUUUUUUUUUUUUUUUUGUUCGAACAUCUUGUAUGUAUAUUUUCAUAUAUUUUAUAAUUAAAUACUUUUCCUUAGUUAAUUAA